UAACGACACAUCAAGCAGUCUUAUCGUUCGCUCGCUUCUAAUCUUAUCUUGUCUGUCUCUUCCACUUUCAGUCUGUCAUGUUCUCCUUACCUUCUUUACGGGUCGGUGCUAAGGGUGAAGAAGAAAGGAAGAUCUGUUUACCUUUGCGUUUAUUUUCUGGUAGCGAAAUCGAGAUCAAUUGACCAUGCAGGCUUGAAAGCGUGACUUUUGAUGGUACUCUAGUAGAGGACGAACGAAGUGGCUAACCGCAGAAGGUACGCCUGUUCACUGUGUGGAUUUAACGAAAACCGUAUGGACCAGUUCAUCAAUUUUGUUUUCUCUUAGUUUUCGUUCUUUAUUAACCAUUCUUCUUUUUUAUUUCGUGCGCAUGCGACUGAUGAUUCGCUGGUCAUUGGAGUUCGUUUUUCACCGGAUCUGGCCGGAAUCUGGAUGCUUGCACUCGGAGUGCAAAUGGGUCCUGGUCGAUCUGCAGAUUUGAGCCGUAGUUCUGAAGAAACAACGGUUUUUUGUCUUUCUUUGGUGGGGAUCUGUUUCCAUUAUCAUGGCCUGCUUGAAAGACGAUUAGAUCUCGGGAAGCUGCUCAUGGUGGAUGGUCGUAGAUAUGGAGAUUUUCCACUUUGGUUCUUUGUCCACUCUUGCAGUUUUCUUUUAAACUCUCCAUUUUGGUUCUUCGGCCUCUCUCGUUGUUUCUUUAUAUAUAUUAGCCGCUUGUGAGCAGAUGGGUAUGAUAUUCAAAUCGAGGUUCCAGCCAUGGACAUGCUCUCAUAGAAGUGUAAGCUAUUUAAUAGAAACUUGGUCUCCUGUAUCCUCUCCGGUCUCCACAUUAUUGGAUGAAUCUGAAGAAACUGGGAUCGUUGCCAUUUGAAGGCAAAAAUGAGGCAAUGAUGUUGUCGUCUUUCUUUCUGGGUAUUAAACUUUAGGCUCAAGCCUCAAAAGAAAAUGGAAGACCUCACCUCAUUUUUUUGACGAGGUAACUUUAGGCUCAAGCCUCAAAAGAAAAUGGAAGACCUCACCUCAUUUUUUUGACGAGGUAAGAACCCCUACGUUGUUGUGAACACUUUUCUGGACUGCCCACCUUGCUGUUGGAUCCUUUUAGGUGGUUAAUACACAGUGAUUUCAUGCAUUUGAUUCUCUUGGUUAUGGUUUCUCUGUAGUUUAUUACUUUAUUUACAACAGUGGUGGGUGUAUAGACUAUGGUAGUUCGAAUCUAACCAUCACAAGCAAUGAUAGUUUGAUAGAUGCAACUGAAAAGGGUUUCUCCAUUGCAUGCAUGAA